rnacentral:rRNA from 1 species
GAUAAACGCUGGCGGCGUGCUUAACACAUGCAAGUCGAACGGAAAGGCCACAGCUUGCUGUGGUACUCGAGUGGCGAACGGGUGAGUAACACGUGGGUGAUCUGCCCUGUACUUCGGGAUAAGCUUGGGAAACUGGGUCUAAUACCGGAUAGGAAUCACAUGUGGGUGUGUGGUUGGAAAGCUUUUGCGGUAUGGGAUGAGCUCGCGGCCUAUCAGCUUGUUGGUAGGGUAAUGGCCUACCAAGGCGUCGACGGGUAGCCGGCCUGAGAGGGUGUACGGCCACAUUGGGACUGAGAUACGGCCCAGACUCCUACGGGAGGCAGCAGUGGGGAAUAUUGCACAAUGGGCGCAAGCCUGAUGCAGCGACGCCGCGUGGGGGAUGACGGCCUUCGGGUUGUAAACUCCUUUCGUCAGGGACGAAGCGAAAGUGACGGUACCUGGAUAAGAAGCACCGGCUAACUACGUG